rnacentral:rRNA from 1 species
AUUGAACGCUGGCGGCAUGCCUUACACAUGCAAGUCGAACGGUAACGCGGGGCAACCUGGCGACGAGUGGCGAACGGGUGAGUAACACAUCGGAACGUGCCCAGUAGUGGGGGAUAGCCCGGCGAAAGCCGGAUUAAUACCGCAUACGACCUAAGGGUGAAAGCAGGGGAUCGCAAGACCUUGCGCUAUUGGAGCGGCCGAUGUCAGAUUAGGUAGUUGGUGGGGUAAAAGCCUACCAAGCCGACGAUCUGUAGCUGGUCUGAGAGGACGACCAGCCACACUGGGACUGAGACACGGCCCAGACUCCUACGGAAGGCAGCAGUGGGGAAUUUUGGACAAUGGGCGCAAGCCUGAUCCAGCCAUGCCGCGUGCGGGAAGAAGGCCUUCGG